AACUAACGCUGGCGGCGUGCCUAACACAUGCAAGUCGUACGAGAAAGUUGGCUUCGGCCGAUGAGUACAGUGGCGCACGGGUGAGUAACGCGUGGAUAAUCUGCCCUUAAGUGUGGAAUAACGUACCGAAAGGUGCGCUAAUACCGCAUAAUGCCUGGCAACAUAAGUUGUCCGGCCAAAGAAGGCCUCUGCUUGCAAGCUUUCGCUAAAGGAUGAGUCCGCGUACCAUUAGCUAGUUGGUGGGGUAACGGCCUACCAAGGCGACGAUGGUUAGCUGGUCUGAGAGGAUGAUCAGCCACACUGGAACUGAGACACGGUCCAGACUCCUACGGGAGGCAGCAGUGAGGAAUAUUGCGCAAUGGGGGCAACCCUGACGCAGCAACGCCGCGUGAGUGAGGAAGGUUUUCGGACUGUAAAGCUCUGUCGAGCGGGAAGAAGUGUACCAUGGCUAAUAUCCAUGAUAUUUGACGUACCG
rnacentral:rRNA from 1 species